UACAGAAGCCCCGAGCGUUACCCGGAUUCACUGGGCGUAAAGGGUGCGUAGGCGGAUAUGUUAGUCAGAUGUUAAAUCUUUGGGCUCAACCCAAAGCUCGCAUUUGAAACGGCAUAUCUAGAAGAUGUGAGAGGUUCAGAGAACUCUCGGUGUAGGGGUGAAAUCCGUUGAUAUCGAGGGGAAUACCAAAUGCGAAGGCACCGAACUGGCACAUUCUUGACGCUGAGGCACGAAAGCGUGGGUAGCGAACAGG
rnacentral:misc_RNA from 1 species